AUUAAAGUUGCUGCGGUUAAAAAGCUCGUAGUUGGAUUACGAAGUGGUGUUUAAAUGUCAUUUUGGUUUGUUUGUCUUUCGGGGCAUUCAGGUCAACUUGGCUUUUACUCACUGUUGUCAUUGUCUUUGCCCAAGGUAUAUGCCUUGUGUGCAUGGCAUUGACCUUCUAUUUUAUGGUAAUGUUGUAUCUUUCGGGGUACAUUCAUUCCAUAUAGUUUACUUUGAAAAAAUUAGGGUGUUUAAAGCAGGCGAAAAGGCUUCGGAAUAUAUUAGCAUGGGAUAAUAGAAUACGAUCUAGGUCGUAAUUUGUUGGUUUCUACGGCUUAGGUAAUGAUUGACAGGGAUAGUUGGGGUCGCUCGUAUUGAGUUGUCAGAGGUGAAAUUCUAGGAUUAACUCAAGACGAACUAAUGCGAAAGCAUUCGGCAAGGAUGUUUUCAUUAAUCAAGAACGAAAGUUGGGGGAUCGAAGAUGAUCAGAUACCGUCGUAGUCUCAACUGUAAACUAUGUCGACCGAGGAUCCGGUAGCGUUACAUGGAUGACCUUCCGGGCACUCUGUGAGAAAUCAUAAGUAUUUGGAUUUCGGGGGGAGUAUGGUCGCAAGGCUGAAACUUAAAGGGAUUGACGGAAGGGCACCACCAGGAGUGGAAUCUGCGGCUUAAUUUGACCCAACACGGGAAAACUUACCAGGUCCGGACACAGUGAGGAUUGACAGAUUGAGAGCUCUUUCUUGAUUUUGUGGGUGGUGGUGCAUGGCCGUUUUUAGUUGGUGGAGUGAUUUGUCUGGUUAAUUCCGUUAACGAACGAGACCUUAACCUAUUAAAUAGCUGCGCGAACCCAGGUUCUUUAACCAUUCUCUCCUUCGGGGGGGCGUGGUAUCAUUAUUUUGCUUUUCACUUUCGGGUGGGAGGUAGGGUAGUGAUAGGGCCUGAGAUGAGUUGGUGAUUUGGCUUCUUAGAGGGACUACUUGCAUCCUUAGCAAGGGGAGGUUUGAGGCAAAAACAGGUCUGUGAUGCCCUUCGAUGUUCUGGGCUGCACGCGCGUUACACUGGCGCAUGCAAAGAGUUUAAAAUUCCUGUCCCGAUGGGGUUGGGAAAUCUUUUUAAAGUGCGUCGUGAUGGGGAUAGAGCAUUGAAAUUAUUGCUCUUGAACGAGGAAUUCCUAGUAAUUGCAGGCCAUCAACCUGCAAUGAUUACGUCCCUGCCCUUUGUACACACCGCCCGUCGCUCCUACCGAUGGUUGAACCGAUGAGGACUCGGGAUGAUCUUAUUAGAUCGGUCGGU
rnacentral:rRNA from 1 species